UUUUCUGUACAGGUAUCCCAUUUUAGUGUUGUAGCUGGGAGAGGGAUACACGAAAGAGAAAUGGCUACUAGUAUAUGUAAGAAGAUUUUCUCUCCUGAGGUUGCAUUACAACUGAAUUGAACAGGGACAGAGAUAAAAAAAGGAAUCAAGUCACUAAAGUGUGAUGCAUGUGGCAAACAAUAUAAAAGAAAUUUUUCGAGAUCAAAAGUCACAGGCUUCAUAAGUACGUGGCUUCGAAGUAAUUCAAAGAGGAGAGCCAUAAAUAAUGUUGAUUUGCCAAGAUAAUAAAAAUUUUUCAAAGGUCGAUUACUUCCCCUGUAGUUUUACAGGUGACAAGAGGUAACAACGAAAGCAGGACUAUAUACACGAGUGGUUAUAACCAAGAUGAGUCGAUAUUCGCACGGCUAUCCGUAAAUGCAGCGCAGAAGCAUUUUAUUUUAUUUUGUAUCGCAAAAGUUCGUAAAAAAAAUUGAAAUAGAUUAUUCCCAAUUAUGUUUGACAUGUGAGAAUGCUUAUCAAUUAACUAUCGACGGUUAAAUGCCAUAAAAAUUUCAACCAAUUUGUAACAAAUCAGUAUUAAAAUACAUAAUAUUAUGUAUUA